rnacentral:tRNA from 1 species
GGUUCAUUCGUCUAAUGGUUAGGACGCAAGAUUCUCAUUCUUGUAAUAGGGGUUCGAUUCCCCUAUGAACUA